CGACCUAUCGUGCCUGGUCACGGACUCUGCCCGCUCCUGGCAGUGUGGGGGUCAGGGGUUCGAAUCCCCUUAGCUCCACCA
rnacentral:tRNA from 4 species